rnacentral:rRNA from 1 species
UAAAACUUUCAACAACGGAUCUCUUGGUUCUGGCAUCGAUGAAGAACGCAGCGAAAUGCGAUAAGUAAUGUGAAUUGCAGAAUUCAGUGAAUCAUCGAAUCUUUGAACGCACAUUGCGCCCUCUGGUAUUCCGGAGGGCAUGCCUGUUCGAGCGUCAUUACAACCCUCA